rnacentral:sRNA from 1 species
UCUGAAUGCUCUUUUAUACAGAUUGACU